rnacentral:rRNA from 1 species
GAUGAAGGACGUGCUAAUCUGCGAAAAGCGCCGGCGAGGUGAUAUGAACCCUUGACCCGGCGAUGUCCGAAUGGGGAAACCCAGUGCAAUCCGUUGCACUAUCGUUAACUGAAUACAUAGGUUAACGAGGCGAACCGGGGGAACUGAAACAUCUAAGUACCCCGAGGAAAAGAAAUCAACCGAGAUUCCCCCAGUAGCGGCGAGCGAACGGGGAGCAGCCCGGAGUCUGAAUCAGCUUGUGUGUUAGUGGAACGGUCUGGAAAGUCCGACGGUACAGGGUGAWAGUCCCGUACACGAAAGCACACAUGCUGUGAACUCGAAGAGUAGGGCGGGACACGUGGUAUCCUGUCUGAAUAUGGGGGGACCAUCCUCCAAGGCUAAAUACUCCUGACUGACCGAUAGUGAACCAGUACCGUGAGGGAAAGGCGAAAAGAACCCCGGCGAGGGGAGUGAAAAAGAACCUGAAACCGUGUACGUACAAGCAGUGGGAGCCUCUUUAUGGGGUGACUGCGUACCUUUUGUAUAAUGGGUCAGCGACUUAUAUUCUGUAGCAAGGUUAACCGUAUAGGGGAGCCGAAGGGAAACCGAGUCUUAACUGGGCGUUAAGUUGCAGGGUAUAGACCCGAAACCCGGUGAUCUAGCCAUGGGCAGGUUGAAGGUUGGGUAACACUAACUGGAGGACCGAACCGACUAAUGUUGAAAAAUUAGCGGAUGACCUGUGGCUGGGGGUGAAAGGCCAAUCAAACCGGGAGAUAGCUGGUUCUCCCCGAAAGCUAUUUAGGUAGCGCCUCGUGAAYUCAUCUUCGGGGGUAGAGCACUGUUUCGGCUAGGGGGCCAUCCCGGCUUACCAACCCGAUGCAAACUACGAAUACCGAAGAAUGUUAUCACGGGAGACACACGGCGGGUGCUAACGUCCGUCGUGAAGAGGGAAACAACCCAGACCGCCAGCUAAGGUCCCAAAGUCAUGGUUAAGUGGGAAACGAUGUGGGAAGGCACAGACAGCCAGGAUGUUGGCUUAGAAGCAGCCAUCAUUUAAAGAAAGCGUAAUAGCUCACUGGUCGAGUCGGCCUGCGCGGAAGAUGUAACGGGGCUAAACCAUGCACCGAAGCUGCGGCAGCGACGCUUAUGCGUUGUUGGGUAGGGGAGCGUUCUGUAAGCCGUUGAAGGUGKSCUGUGAGGSWUGCUGGAGGUAUCAGAAGUGCGAAUGCUGACAUAAGUAACGAUAAAGCGGGUGAAAAGCCCGCUCGCCGGAAGACCAAGGGUUCCUGUCCAACGUUAAUCGGGGCAGGGUGAGUCGACCCCUAAGGCGAGGCCGAAAGGCGUAGUCGAUGGGAAACAGGUUAAUAUUCCUGUACUUGGUGUUACUGCGAAGGGGGGACGGAGAAGGCUAUGUCAGCCGGGCGACGGUUGUCCCGGUUUAAGCAUGUAGGCGGAGGUUCCAGGUAAAUCCGGUACCUUUUAACGCUGAGGUGUGAUGACGAGGCACUACGGUGCUGAAGUGAUAAAUGCCCUGCUUCCAGGAAAAGCCUCUAAGCAUCAGGUAACACGAAAUCGUACCCCAAACCGACACAGGUGGUCAGGUAGAGAAUACCAAGGCGCUUGAGAGAACUCGGGUGAAGGAACUAGGCAAAAUGGUGCCGUAACUUCGGGAGAAGGCACGCUGAURUGUAGGUGAAGCCCCUGCGGGCGGAGCUGAAAUCAGUCGAAGAUACCAGCUGGCUGCAACUGUUUAUUAAAAACACAGCACUGUGCAAACACGAAAGUGGACGUAUACGGUGUGACGCCUGCCCGGUGCCGGAAGGUUAAUUGAUGGGGUUAGCGGCAACGCGAAGCUCUUGAUCGAAGCCCCGGUAAACGGCGGCCGUAACUAUAACGGUCCUAAGGUAGCGAAAUUCCUUGUCGGGUAAGUUCCGACCUGCACGAAUGGCGUAAUGAUGGCCAGGCUGUCUCCACCCGAGACUCAGUGAAAUUGAACUCGCUGUGAAGAUGCAGUGUACCCGCGGCAAGACGGAAAGACCCCGUGAACCUUUACUAUAGCUUGACACUGAACACUGGUCCUUGAUGUGUAGGAUAGGUGGGAGGCUUUGAAGCGUGGACGCCAGUCUGCGUGGAGCCAACCUUGAAAUACCACCCUUUAAUGGCUGGUGUUCUAACGURGACCCGUWAYCCGGGUUGCGGACAGUGUCUGGUGGGUAGUUUGACUGGGGCGGUCUCCUCCCAAAGAGUAACGGAGGAGCACGAAGGUUGGCUAAUCCUGGUCGGACAUCAGGAGGUUAGUGCAAUGGCAUAAGCCAGCUUGACUGCGAGCGUGACGGCGCGAGCAGGUGCGAAAGCAGGUCAUAGUGAUCCGGUGGUUCUGAAUGGAAGGGCCAUCGCUCAACGGAUAAAAGGUACUCCGGGGAUAACAGGCUGAUACCGCCCAAGAGUUCAUAUCGACGGCGGUGUUUGGCACCUCGAUGUCGGCUC